rnacentral:rRNA from 1 species
UGGGGAAUAUUGCACAAUGGGCGCAAGCCUGAUGCAGCGACGCCGCGUGCGGGAUGAAGGCCUUCGGGUUGUAAACCGCUUUCACCAGGGACGAAGCGAGAGUGACGGUACCUGGGGAAGAAGCGCCGGCUAACUACGUGCCAGCAGCCGCGGUAAUACGUAGGGCGCAAGCGUUGUCCGGAAUUAUUGGGCGUAAAGAGCUCGUAGGCGGCUUGUCACGUCUGCUGUGAAAUCCCGGGGCUCAACCCCGGGCGUGCAGUGGAUACGGGCUUGCUAGAGGCAGGCAGGGGAGAACGGAAUUCCCGGUGUAGCGGUGAAAUGCGCAGAUAUCGGGAGGAACACCGGUGGCGAAGGCGGUUCUCUGGGCCUGUACUGACGCUGAGGAGCGAAAGCGUGGGGAGCGAACAGGAUUAGAUACCCCCGUAGUCC